rnacentral:rRNA from 1 species
UACGGAGGGUGCGAGCGUUGUCCGGAAUCACUGGGCGUAAAGGGCGUGUAGGCGGCGCGGGCAGUCAACGGUGAAAGCUUGGGGCUCAACCCCGAGUCGGCCGUCGAUACUCCCGGGCUGGAGCACUGUAGAGGCAGGUGGAAUUCCGGGUGUAGCGGUGGAAUGCGUAGAGAUCCGGAAGAACACCGGUGGCGAAGGCGGCCUGCUGGGCAGUAGCUGACGCUGAGGCGCGACAGCGUGGGGAGCAAACAGG